rnacentral:miRNA from 1 species
UUGUCAGCACAGUGGUAUAUGCA